CCCUCGUUCCAUUCUGUCUUUGCUGUUUCCUUAUUACUGCAUCUGUGAUCUCUUUCCCCACAGCAGCUCCCAGUUUCAAGGAGCUGUACUUGUCCAAACCCACUUCUUGCUCACUGAAGUCACAUCUCUGAGGAUUGGACUUGGCACUCAUCAGACUAACCUGGGACAGAGGAGUUCACUCUUCAGAGUCCUUGUCCCAAGGGUGGCCGCAGACAUUGUUACAUCUGUUCCUCAUUUCACCUUUGGGAGGCUAUGGCUGCACCUAGAGCAGCUAGAAACACACUUUUAGAGAUGAAAGUUUUAAUUUCAGAAAGCUCAGCCAAGAAGAGUGGAGUGUCUUCCUGACCUAAGGCUCUACUUAGAGCUGAGUCUGAAAAAGGGGCUGAAUAUUUUUCUAUACUGGAUUGUGGUGCGUGAUUAUUGAUUCUUCAUUGCCUCCAGCUUUACUAGUCCAUCACCUGCUGCUUGGUAAUGUGAGCAUUGCAAGUCCCACUCUGGUAGGAGCAAUCUUGCACAGGAAAGGAUGAAACCAGUUUGGGUCCCAUGGUGAAGGCUGGCUUCUGCUAUCACAGGCGUGGAAAGUGAGGCACAGAACAGAUGGCUAUUUGAAGUCUGGGGCUCACUUGGCAGGCCUGCCACUGGGGACAGGAACAGGCUGAAGGCUGAAAGGUGGAAGGGAUUUCCCACAGGACACAAGAUGACCACUACUGACCCUGGGGCCAGACCCCAGCACCUCACCAUCCUCUGUGCCCCCUUACAGAGCUCUGCACCCCUGCUCUGCUCCAGGAAUCCUGCUCAGAAGGCUUAGGUUGGUUCACACUUCCCUGGAGACGCCCCGGAGUAAGGGCAACAUGACUCUGCCAUCCACAGAGAUGUGGCUCCUCGUCCACCUGCCCCAGCUCUGCCCUCUGUUCUGGGAUGAGAAUGAGAAGACUUUGGCCAAAUCCCCACCUUUUUUACAUUGUCACAUUUAAAGUGGUUUUCUCCUCAGAUAGGAGCAGGAGCCAAGAGGUACUGUGGUCCUCUCGUUACAGGGUCUGCUAAUGGUGAGGACCUUUCUGUUCCACUUCCUUCUCAAUGAAUGGAUCUGCAGGACGACUUCUUCAGCAUUGAAUUUCUCUCUUUAUCCAAGGAGUCUGAGGUCCAGGGUCAGACAAAGGCCUUUUGGAGCUGACCAGUAUGCACUGGGCAUGUUUCUCAUACCACUUUUUUCUUCCAUACAGCCAGUCCCCAGGAAAUUGUGUCGUUUGGGAUAUGUCUAAACUGUCUUAAUGAUCUGCUUGAGAAACAAAGCCCUGUGAGGGAUGGUCCUGGAUGCUGGGCAGAGCAUGUCAGACCGCGUGGGCUCCUGCCGAUGGGGCUGAGAGUGCUGCGAGUCUGAUGGUCGGUGCUUGAGCUUGUCUCCAGACACGCCUCGGCAGGCGGGCCCUGGGCUGGCCGCAGGGCAG